AGUCAGCCCUGCUGCCAGCCAGUGCCGGGUGCUGGGGACUCAGGGAGGCCCGCCGGGACCACUGCGGGACAGUGAGCCGAGCAGAAGCUGGAACGCAGGAGAGGAAGGAGAGGGGGCGGUCAGGGCUCUCAGGAGCCGGGUCCUGGGCAAGGCGCAGCCGUUUUCAAAUUUUCAGGAAAGCGGUCGGCUCACACUCGAGCAGUAAAAAGAUGCCUCUGGGGAGGAGGCCCGUGCAGCUCUCCGGGCAAUGGUGGUGGCUCGGCCUAGAGAGGCGGUAGUGGAACGCAGACCCUGGUGGGGGAAUGACAUCAAGGGAGGAGACGGGCGGGACCCCAGAUUUCUGCCUGUGGGCGAUGGAAGUGAGGUUCACUGGCCAGCGGAGCCGGACACAGAACGCGCAAAACGCCGUGUAGGCCUGGAGGAGCCGAAGAGCAGGCGGACCCCCUCCGCGGGGGAACAGUUUCCGCCGGGAGCACAAAGCAACGGACCGGAAGUGGGGGGCGGAAGUGCAGUGGGCUCAGCGCCGACUGCGCGCCUCUGCCCGCGAAAACUCUGAGCUGGCUGACAGCUGGGGACGGGUGGCGGCCCUCGACUGGAGUCGGUUGAGUUCCUGAGGGACCCCGGUUCUGGAAGGUUCGCCGCGGAGACAAGUGAGCAGUCUGUGCCAUAGGGAUUCUCGAAGAGAACAGCGUUGUGUCCCAGUGCACAUGCUCGCAUCGCUUACCAGGAGUGCCCGAGACCCUAAGAUGUUCGGAGUGGUUUUUUCGCACAGACCCGAAUAGCCUGCCCCUCAGCCACGCUCUGUGCCCUUCUGAGAACAGGCUGAUAUGCCCAAGAUAGUCCUGAAUGGUGUGACCGUAGACUUCCCUUUCCAGCCCUACAAAUGCCAACAGGAGUACAUGACCAAGGUCCUGGAAUGUCUGCAGCAGAAGGUGAAUGGCAUCCUGGAGAGCCCUACGGGUACAGGGAAGACGCUGUGCCUGCUGUGCACCACGCUGGCCUGGCGAGAACACCUCCGAGACGGCAUCUCUGCCCGCAAGAUUGCCGAGAGGGCGCAAGGAGAGCUUUUCCCGGAUCGGGCCUUGUCAUCCUGGGGCAACGCUGCUGCUGCUGCUGGAGACCCCAUAGCUUGCUACACGGACAUCCCAAAGAUUAUUUACGCCUCCAGGACCCACUCGCAACUCACACAGGUCAUCAACGAGCUUCGGAACACCUCCUACCGGCCUAAGGUGUGUGUGCUGGGCUCCCGGGAGCAGCUGUGCAUCCAUCCUGAGGUGAAGAAACAAGAGAGUAACCAUCUACAGAUCCACUUGUGCCGUAAGAAGGUGGCAAGUCGCUCCUGUCAUUUCUACAACAACGUAGAAGAAAAAAGCCUGGAGCAGGAGCUGGCCAGCCCCAUCCUGGACAUUGAGGACUUGGUCAAGAGCGGAAGCAAGCACAGGGUGUGCCCUUACUACCUGUCCCGGAACCUGAAGCAGCAAGCCGACAUCAUAUUCAUGCCGUACAAUUACUUGUUGGAUGCCAAGAGCCGCAGAGCACACAACAUUGACCUGAAGGGGACAGUCGUGAUCUUUGACGAAGCUCACAACGUGGAGAAGAUGUGUGAAGAAUCGGCAUCCUUUGACCUGACUCCCCAUGACCUGGCUUCAGGACUGGACGUCAUAGACCAGGUGCUGGAGGAGCAGACCAAGGCAGCGCAGCAGGGUGAGCCCCACCCGGAGUUCAGCGCGGACUCCCCCAGCCCAGGGCUGAACAUGGAGCUGGAAGACAUUGCAAAGCUGAAGAUGAUCCUGCUGCGCCUGGAGGGGGCCAUCGAUGCUGUUGAGCUGCCUGGAGACGACAGCGGUGUCACCAAGCCAGGGAGCUACAUCUUUGAGCUGUUUGCUGAAGCCCAGAUCACGUUUCAGACCAAGGGCUGCAUCCUGGACUCGCUGGACCAGAUCAUCCAGCACCUGGCAGGACGUGCUGGAGUGUUCACCAACACGGCCGGACUGCAGAAGCUGGCGGACAUUAUCCAGAUUGUGUUCAGUGUGGACCCCUCCGAGGGCAGCCCUGGUUCCCCAGCAGGGCUGGGGGCCUUACAGUCCUAUAAGGUGCACAUCCAUCCUGAUGCUGGUCACCGGAGGACGGCUCAGCGGUCUGAUGCCUGGAGCACCACUGCAGCCAGAAAGCGAGGGAAGGUGCUGAGCUACUGGUGCUUCAGUCCCGGCCACAGCAUGCACGAGCUGGUCCGCCAGGGCGUCCGCUCCCUCAUCCUUACCAGCGGCACGCUGGCCCCGGUGUCCUCCUUUGCUCUGGAGAUGCAGAUCCCUUUCCCAGUCUGCCUGGAGAACCCACACAUCAUCGACAAGCACCAGAUCUGGGUGGGGGUCGUCCCCAGAGGCCCCGAUGGAGCCCAGUUGAGCUCCGCGUUUGACAGACGGUUUUCCGAGGAGUGCUUAUCCUCCCUGGGGAAGGCUCUGGGCAACAUCGCCCGCGUGGUGCCCUAUGGGCUCCUGAUCUUCUUCCCUUCCUAUCCUGUCAUGGAGAAGAGCCUGGAGUUCUGGCGGGCCCGCGACUUGGCCAGGAAGAUGGAGGCGCUGAAGCCGCUGUUUGUGGAGCCCAGGAGCAAAGGCAGCUUCUCCGAGACCAUCAGUGCUUACUAUGCAAGGGUUGCCGCCCCUGGGUCCACCGGCGCCACCUUCCUGGCGGUCUGCCGGGGCAAGGCCAGCGAGGGGCUGGACUUCUCAGACACGAAUGGCCGUGGUGUGAUUGUCACGGGCCUCCCGUACCCCCCACGCAUGGACCCCCGGGUUGUCCUCAAGAUGCAGUUCCUGGAUGAGAUGAAGGGCCAGGGUGGGGCUGGGGGCCAGUUCCUCUCUGGGCAGGAGUGGUACCGGCAGCAGGCGUCCAGGGCUGUGAACCAGGCCAUCGGGCGAGUGAUCCGGCACCGCCAGGACUACGGAGCUGUCUUCCUCUGUGACCACAGGUUCGCCUUUGCCGACGCAAGAGCCCAACUGCCCUCCUGGGUGCGUCCCCACGUCAGGGUGUAUGACAACUUUGGCCAUGUCAUCCGAGACGUGGCCCAGUUCUUCCGUGUUGCCGAGCGAACUAUGCCAGCGCCGGCCCCCCGGGCUACAGCACCCAGUGUGCGUGGAGAAGAUGCUGUCAGCGAGGCCAAGUCGCCUGGCCCCUUCUUCUCCACCAGGAAAGCUAAGAGUCUGGACCUGCAUGUCCCCAGCCUGAAGCAGAGGUCCUCAGGGUCACCAGCUGCCGGGGACCCCGAGAGUAGCCUGUGUGUGGAGUAUGAGCAGGAGCCAGUUCCUGCCCGGCAGAGGCCCAGGGGGCUGCUGGCCGCCCUGGAGCACAGCGAACAGCGGGCGGGGAGCCCUGGCGAGGAGCAGGCCCACAGCUGCUCCACCCUGUCCCUCCUGUCUGAGAAGAGGCCGGCAGAAGAACCGCGAGGAGGGAGGAAGAAGAUCCGGCUGGUCAGCCACCCGGAGGAGCCCGUGGCUGGUGCACAGACGGACAGGGCCAAGCUCUUCAUGGUGGCCGUGAAGCAGGAGUUGAGCCAAGCCAACUUUGCCACCUUCACCCAGGCCCUGCAGGACUACAAGGGUUCCGAUGACUUCGCCGCCCUGGCCGCCUGUCUCGGCCCCCUCUUUGCUGAGGACCCCAAGAAGCACAACCUGCUCCAAGGCUUCUACCAGUUUGUGCGGCCCCACCAUAAGCAGCAGUUUGAGGAGGUCUGUAUCCAGCUGACAGGACGAGGCUGUGGCUAUCGGCCUGAGCACAGCAUUCCCCGAAGGCAGCGGGCACAGCCGGUCCUGGACCCCACUGGAAGAACGGCGCCGGAUCCCAAGCUGACCGUGUCCACGGCUGCAGCCCAGCAGCUGGACCCCCAAGAGCACCUGAACCAGGGCAGGCCCCACCUGUCGCCCAGGCCACCCCCAACAGGAGACCCUGGCAGCCAACCACAGUGGGGGUCUGGAGUGCCCAGAGCAGGGAAGCAGGGCCAGCACGCCGUGAGCGCCUACCUGGCUGAUGCCCGCAGGGCCCUGGGGUCCGCGGGCUGUAGCCAACUCUUGGCAGCGCUGACAGCCUAUAAGCAAGACGACGACCUCGACAAGGUGCUGGCUGUGUUGGCCGCCCUGACCACUGCAAAGCCAGAGGACUUCCCCCUGCUGCACAGGUUCAGCAUGUUUGUGCGUCCACACCACAAGCAGCGCUUCUCACAGACGUGCACAGACCUGACCGGCCGGCCCUACCCGGGCAUGGAGCCACCGGGACCCCAGGAGGAGAGGCUUGCCGUGCCUCCUGUGCUUACCCACAGGGCUCCCCAACCAGGCCCCUCACGGUCCGAGAAGACCGGGAAGACCCAGAGCAAGAUCUCGUCCUUCCUUAGACAGAGGCCAGCAGGGACUGUGGGGGCGGGCGGUGAGGAUGCAGGUCCCAGCCAGUCCUCAGGACCUCCCCACGGGCCUGCAGCAUCUGAGUGGGGUGAGCCUCAUGGGAGAGACAUCGCUGGGCAGCAGGCCACGGGAGCUCCGGGCGGGCCCCUCUCAGCAGGCUGUGUGUGCCAGGGCUGUGGGGCAGAGGACGUGGUGCCCUUCCAGUGCCCUGCCUGUGACUUCCAGCGCUGCCAAGCCUGCUGGCAACGGCACCUUCAGGCCUCUAGGAUGUGCCCAGCCUGCCACACCGCCUCCAGGAAGCAGAGCGUCAUGCAGGUCUUCUGGCCAGAGCCCCACAAGGACCAUGAGGGCGCUGGAGGGGCCAGGCCUGUCGCUGCUGUGCCUGGUGUUGGCGCUGCCUGCCCUGCUGCCGGUGCCGGCUGUACGCGGAGUGGCAGAAACACCCACCUACCCCUGGCGGGACGCAGAGACAGGGGAGCGGCUGGUGUGCGCCCAGUGCCCCCCAGGCACCUUUGUGCAGCGGCCGUGCCGCCGAGACAGCCCCACGACGUGUGGCCCGUGUCCACCGCGCCACUACACGCAGUUCUGGAACUACCUAGAGCGCUGCCGCUACUGCAACGUCCUCUGCGGGGAGCGUGAGGAGGAGGCACGGGCUUGCCACGCCACCCACAACCGUGCCUGCCGCUGCCGCACCGGCUUCUUCGCGCACGCUGGUUUCUGCUUGGAGCACGCAUCGUGUCCACCUGGUGCCGGCGUGAUUGCCCCGGGCACCCCCAGCCAGAACACGCAGUGCCAGCCGUGCCCCCCAGGCACCUUCUCAGCCAGCAGCUCCAGCUCAGAGCAGUGCCAGCCCCACCGCAACUGCACGGCCCUGGGCCUGGCCCUCAAUGUGCCAGGCUCUUCCUCCCAUGACACCCUGUGCACCAGCUGCACUGGCUUCCCCCUCAGCACCAGGGUACCAGGAGCUGAGGAGUGUGAGCGUGCCGUCAUCGACUUUGUGGCUUUCCAGGACAUCUCCAUCAAGAGGCUGCAGCGGCUGCUGCAGGCCCUCGAGGCCCCGGAGGGCUGGGGUCCGACACCAAGGGCGGGCCGCGCGGCCUUGCAGCUGAAGCUGCGUCGGCGGCUCACGGAGCUCCUGGGGGCGCAGGACGGGGCGCUGCUGGUGCGGCUGCUGCAGGCGCUGCGCGUGGCCAGGAUGCCCGGGCUGGAGCGGAGCGUCCGUGAGCGCUUCCUCCCUGUGCACUGAUCCUGGCCCCCUCUUAUUUAUUCUACAUCCUUGGCACCCCACUUGCACUGAAAGAGGCUUUUUUUUAAAUAGAAGAAAUGAGGUUUCUUAAAGCUUAUUUUUAUAAAGCUUUUUCAUAAAACUGGUUGUAGUUGC